CCCUAGUUCGGAUUGUAGGCUGAAACUCGCCUACAUGAAGCUGGAAUUGCUAGUAAUCACAGGUCAGCAUACUGUGGUGAAUACGUUCCCGGGCCUUGUACACACCGCCCGUCACACCAUGAGAGUUGAGAAUACCCGAAGCCCAUGUCAAAGUGGUCGAAGGUAGGCUUGAUGAUUGGGGUGAAGUCGUAACAAGGUAGC
rnacentral:rRNA from 1 species